rnacentral:rRNA from 1 species
UGAACGCUGGCGGCAUGCUUUACACAUGCAAGUCGAACGGUAAACAGGCCUUCGGGCGCUGACGAGUGGCGAACGGGUGAGUAAUGCAUCGGAACGUGCCCAAUCGUGGGGGAUAACGUAGAGAAAAUUUACGCUAAUACCGCAUGAGAUCUAAGGAUGAAAGCAGGGGAUCGCAAGACCUUGCGCGAUUGGAGCGGCUGAUGUCAGAUUAGGUAGUUGGUAGGGGUAAAGGCCUACCAAGCCGACGAUCUGUAGCUGGUUUGAGAGAAACGACCAGCCACACUGGGACUGAGACACGGCCCAGACUCCUACGGGAGGCAGCAGUGGGGAAUUUUGGACAAUGGGCGCAAGCCUGAUCCAGCAAUGCCGCGUGCAGG